CGCCUCCUCCGACAUGACACAACGUCCUGCAGAGAUGUUGUGCGACCUGCAGUGUCAGACGUCGGAGGAGCCG
rfam:Acremonium chrysogenum ATCC 11550 scaffold91, whole genome shotgun sequence.